AACGAACGCUGGCGGCAUGCCUAACACAUGCAAGUCGAACGAGACCUUCGGGUCUAGUGUCGCACGGGUGCGUAACGCGUGGGAACCUGCCCUUAGGUUCGGAAUAACUCCCCGAAAGGGGUGCUAAUACCGGAUAAUGUCUUCGGACCAAAGAUUUAUCGCCUUUGGAUGGGCCCGCGUUGGAUUAGCUAGUUGGUAGGGUAAAAGCCUACCAAGGCGACGAUCCAUAGCUGGUCUGAGAGGAUGAUCAGCCACACUGGGACUGAGACACGGCCCAGACUCCUACGGGAGGCAGCAGUGGGGAAUAUUGGACGAUGGGCGAAAGCCGGAUCCAGCAAUGCCGCGUGAGUGAUUAAGGCCUUAGGGUUGUAAAUCUCUGUUACCCGGGAUGAUAAUGACAGUACCGGGAGAAUAAGCGCCGGCUAACUCCGUG
rnacentral:rRNA from 1 species